AACGUAGGAGACAAACGUUAUCCGGAGUUACUGGGCGUAAAGGGCGUGUAGGCGGUUUCGUAAGUCUGGCGUGAAAUUUCUCGGCUUAACCGAGGCAGGUCGUCGGAUACUGCGGAACUUGAGGACGGUAGAGGCGUGUGGAAUUCCGGGUGUAGUGGUGAAAUGCGUAGAGAUCCGGAGGAACACCAGUGGCGAAGGCGACACGCUGGGCCGUACCUGACACUGAUGCGCGACAGCAUGGGGAGCAAACAGG
rnacentral:rRNA from 1 species